UGAAACACGGACCAAGGAGUCUAACAUGUGCGCAAGUCAUGGGGUUGUAAACCCAAAGGCGUAAUGAAAGUAAAGGUCAAUUCGGUUGACCGAGGUGAGAUCCCCGCAAGGGGCGCAUCACUGUCCCAUCGCAUCUGCUUGUCAGAGCGGUGGAGAAAAAGCGUACACGCUGGGACCCGAAAGAUGGUGAACUAUGCCUGAGCAGGAUGAAGUCAUCGGAAACGGUGAUGGAGGUCCGUAGCGGUUCUGACGUGCAAAUCGAUCGUCAGACUUGGGUAUAGGGGCGAAAGACUAAUCGAACCAUCUAGUAGCUGGUUCCCUCCGAAGUUUCCCUCAGGAUAGCUGGCACUUAAACGCAGUUUUACCCGGUAAAGCGAAUGAUUAGAGGCCUUGGGGACGAAACGACCUCAACCUAUUCUCAAACUUUAAAUGGGUAAGAAGUCUCGCUUGCCUGACCGAAGCUCAGACAUUGAAUGCGAGUGCCAAGUGGGCCAUUUUUGGUAAGCA
rnacentral:rRNA from 1 species